rnacentral:rRNA from 1 species
GAUGAACGCUGGCGGCGUGCCUAAUACAUGCAAGUCGAGCGAACAGACGAGGAGCUUGCUCCUCUGACGUUAGCGGCGGACGGGUGAGUAACACGUGGAUAACCUACCUAUAAGACUGGGAUAACUUCGGGAAACCGGAGCUAAUACCGGAUAAUAUAUUGAACCGCAUGGUUCAAUAGUGAAAGACGGUUUUGCUGUCACUUAUAGAUGGAUCCGCGCCGCAUUAGCUAGUUGGUAAGGUAACGGCUUACCAAGGCAACGAUGCGUAGCCGACCUGAGAGGGUGAUCGGCCACACUGGAACUGAGACACGGUCCAUACUCCUACGGGAGGCAGCAGUAGGGAAUCUUACGCAAUGGGCGAAAGCCUGACGGAGCAACGCCGCGUGAGUGAUGAAGGUCUUCGGAUCGUAAAACUCUGUUAUUAGGGAAGAACAAAUGUGUAAGUAACUAUGCACGUCUUGACGGUACCUAAUCAGAAAGCCACGGCUAACUACGUG